ACAUCGGUGACAGGUGGUGCGAUGGUUGUCGUCAGCUCGUGUCGUGAGAUGUUGGGUUAAGUCCCGCAACGAGCGCAACCCCUAUUGUUAGUUGCCAUCAUUCAGUUGGGCACUCUAGCGAGACUGCCGGUAAUAAACCGGAGGAAGGUGGGGAUGACGUCAAAUCAUCAUGCCCCUUAUGACCUGGGCUACACACGUGCUACAAUGGUUGGUACAACGAGUUGCGAGUCGGUGACGGCGAGCUAAUCUCUUAAAGCCAAUCUCAGUUCGGAUUGUAGGCUGCAACUCGCCUACAUGAAGUCGGAAUCGCUAGUAAUCGCGGAUCAGCACGCCGCGGUGAACACGUUCCCGGGCCUU
rnacentral:rRNA from 1 species